ACUCCUACGGGAGGCAGCAGUAAGGAAUAUUGGACAAUGGGCGAAAGACCUGAUCCAGCCAUGCCGCGUGAAGGAUUAAGGUCCUCUGGAUUGUAAACUUCUUUUAUUUGGGACGAAAAAGGGAAAUUCUUUCCCUACCUUGACGGUACCAAGUGAAUAAGCACCGGCUAACUCCGUGCCAGCAGCCGCGGUAAUACGGAGGGGUGCAAGCGUUAUCCGGAUUCACUGGGUUUAAAGGGGUGCGUAGGCGGGGUAUGUAAGUCAGUGGUGAAAUCUCGGAGCUUAACUCCGAAACUGCCAUUGAUACUAUAUAUCUUGAAUAUUGUGGAGGUUUGCGGAAUAUGUCAUGUAGCGGUGAAAUGCUUAGAUAUGACAUAGAACACCUAUUGCGAAGGCAGCAGGCUACACAUAUAUUGACGCUGAGGCACGAAAGCGUGGGGAGUCAAACAGGAUUAGAUACCCUGGUAGGAUAGCG
rnacentral:rRNA from 1 species